UUAAGCCCAAUGCGAUGCCUGUCAGACACGUCUAGACGUAACAGCGCAAACCCUCCUUGAUUAGUGGACUCUUCCAUGAUGUCAAUGUCUUUGCAUUGCAGCUAUGUUGACCAAAACUAUUGAGUAUUUGGAACAACCUAUUAAAAGCAAAUAAAGGGUCCGUCAGCAUUGUCAAAAGUUCAUGAACUUUUCAAAUUUGACCCGUAGGUUAAUGUCAGGACCCUCAGAAAUGGGCAUUUAAUUGGCAGGAAGCGAGUUAACGCACGAUUUCUUGAAGGAAAUGUCAAUCAGAUUUGCGGUGAAUUUGAAAUUAUUCAAUCUAUUCGGACCAAUCACGGUGGAUAUUUGGGAGCCCCGGGAAUGAAAGUUUGUAAUUAGCAUGCCUUCCAGCCCCUGUCGUGUCAGUCUGACGUCAACCUGCCAGGGGCAGGACAGGCAGCAAAUUGAUUCCGGAAUCCUCUCGACUAGUUAUCCAGUCUUCGGCUUUCUCACGCCACGCAUGCCGAAGACACAGCGCCGAUGUGCCGGCUGAGGUCACCUUCUGUUGGCUCACAACGCCGGCUAGGCGGGGAAGGACUGCAAGGACAAGCAGGAUUCCCUGGUCUCUCCGACAGCUAAGCUAACCAUGGCGGACCUACAGAAGAAGACCAUCAAACUGUGAGGCCGAGCUCCAGCGAGAGGUGGAGGCGCUAGAACAGAAGUGGCAACAACUGCACUCGCCCUCGUCCCAUCCCCCUUCCUCCAGAAGAGCUGGCGAUACAUGUGGAGGGAAACGCGCACUUUCUUGGCUUUCGCCCGUCAUUCAUGCAUGAAGCGAGAGCUGGCCUGGAUGCACAGAUUCACCAGAGUUUGUCGGUCGACCUAUGCACCAACCCCGAUAAGAACAUCGCUGGGAACGUGCGGUUCCUUCUGGGUCAUCCAGCUUUGUUCGAUCGCAAUGCCAAGUGCAGAACUUAACGUUCUUCCCCAGUUCCAUGACACAGUCCUCCUCUUAGCUGCAGGCAGGCCAGCUAAGCCAUGACGACCCUCACCUCACAGACGAAAUUCACCGGCGAGAUGGUCUAACAGACAUUUACGGAAGGGCCAAAACAGAGGUUGUAAUCUUCCCUACCAACCUCUGCUUGGAGAGCACAGAUCGUUCACGUCAAGCCGCCGCCGGACGCCUUCAUCCUCCGAGACAACCGAUGUCCCCCGGUGCUGAGACAUCCGUUCCCGGUCCCGAUAGAGCUGUGGGAAGGGGCCAGGAAGUGAGCCUGCGCAGUGUGCCUGGUU